rfam:Picea glauca, whole genome shotgun sequence.
GUAACGGUGUCUUUAGACACCACCUUUUGUCUUCGAAAUGUUUUAU